UUUUGGCCGAGUUUGAUAUCAGGCCCGUUUAUCAAGCCCGUUCCUCAGGCCCACUUCUCAAGCCCAACACUGUUAAUUACCUAGGAGCAGCCACCUCCCAUUUUCUGGCAAUUUUGCUGCCAACCUUUAAUUGGACAGAGAAGAAGGCGGCAGCCCUCUCUUCUCUAUAAAAACAUCAAAUUCGUACAAAGGAAAGGGGGUGGAGUUUGAAGCAGAAGAAAUCCUAACAUCUUCCCCCAAAUCCCCAAAUAGCAGUAGCAAUACGAAAUCCCAAACUAGUGUUUCCCAAAAAAAAUAAUGAAAUACCAACAGAAAAAAAUAUCGCUAAAUAGCCUAUACAGCCAAACUUUCUACUCCUAAACUCCUGGAACUGACUUCUAACCCUAACAAAAAUCCAAGAUAUACCCACAAGAAGGCCUUGAAGCUAUCGUCGUCCGUCUAGGAGUCGCUAAGGGGAAAGAACACGUGAAUCCGAGAAGCAAAAGCCACCACAACCUGAAAGCAAAAGGAGAUCUCGUAGGAAAAGGUAAGGUACUCCAAAACCCGCAUUUAUUCAGACAUUCAUGACACUAUUACGAUUAUCACCCUUGUUUUCAUGUUUAUGUACUUUUUUUUUGUCCUUACUAUCCUUUGUUAAUGCUACUUACCAAUAUACUUCAUAGCAUGCUAUUAAGCAAUGAAAGGAUCAAAGAAUAAAAUGACUAAAUUACACCAAGUGAAAUACCCACACCCCAAGUAGGUUGAAGCCUCUUCCAAAUGACCAACUAUUGCCUACCUUAGCACCAUUAGCAUCAAAGACCCAAGUAUCAUACAAAUACUCGGAAUUUGGAUUCGGUUUCACAAACAAACCAUGAGUUAUUCUAACAACUUUAUGGCUGGAAUUUCACAAAAAAAAUCAGCUUAAUCAAAUCUGUCAAAGAAGUCAAUUGUCAUGGUGUCAAAAUAAUUGGUUUUGCUUCAAUUUUGAGUGGGUCAAGUUUUCACCCAUCAAUAUGCAUAUUUAUUUAUGCCUAAGAGAAGGGAUGAUAAGCCCUUAUUUUAAUCGGGUCAUUUAGCUAGCAAAAAUUUAAAUAAGAAUCUCGUACUUAGCUUUUUGGUCUUUACGAAUCGGAUCAAGUCAUUCCCCUUUCCGACUCCCUCGAACAAGUCAAUCCACAAGCUUCUUUCUAUACCUGAAGUAACAUCAAAAACAAAAUCACAUCCUAUCUUCGCAAACAGAGGGUUUAUUAAAGAUAAUAAAAAAGAGGUCUUUUUACCUAUUCGGCCGCUCCCGUGGACGUCCGGUUCACCGGCGACGAAUCCAGGACCGGUGGUCCUGUUUUCAUCGUUGGAUCCAUUCAUCCCCCCGCCGACACCCAAUAAAAAAAACGCAUUGAGUUACAAAAACCAUAACAAGAAAAUAUAAACGUAAGAUAAAAUCAUGGAUUUGUAGAUCGGGGUUUGCAUGUCGGAGGAGGAGUUGUCGGAUGCGUCCCCCGGUCACAUGCAAGGCCAGACUUUGCUAAAAUCGAAAAUAAGAGAGGAUUAGGGUUGGAGGCGAUGUUUACCUCCGUUUUUAACGCCCACUCUACGAGGCAGGGAUGACGAGAAAAAGAGGGACGGGGUUGGAUGCUUACUUGGAUCAUUUUCUCGUCGUCAUCGUCACCUCCACUGAUGGAUGGAGGACGAAAUCGCGAGUGAUAGUUCUGUUCUUUUGUGAAAGAUGAUGAUGAGAGAGUGGGGGUGUUCUCUUGUGAAAGAUGAUGAUGAGAGAGUGGAGUUGAGAGGCGGGAGGAGGAUUGUAGGGUUGGAGAGUGGGGAUUUCGGUGUCUAUUAAGUAUUUGUACCUAGGAUAUUAAGGCUCCAGGCCAUAAUUUAUUAUUAAGUAAUGGGCUCUUGUUAAUUUAAGCAAAAUUCAGUGUUGGUCUUUGGGCUGCACUAAGGCCUACCGUGAUAAACAUAAUUCUGCCAAUUUAGAGCCUUCUAAACCCAAGAUAAGCCUGCAUUCAAUUAGAUUAUGAUGGUCUUUAGCUAAAUUAGUUAAUUAAAAAGAAGAGGGGAAGGCGUAUGGGGUAAUUUUGUAUAAUUAAUGAAUUGUGUUCUCUGAU
rnacentral:lncRNA from 1 species